UGGUGACCCGUACGGGAUUCGAACCCGUGUUACCGCCGUGAAAGGGCGGUGUCUUAACCACUUGACCAACGGGCC
rnacentral:tRNA from 6 species